rnacentral:rRNA from 1 species
AUUGAACGCUGGCGGCAGGCCUAACACAUGCAAGUCGAGCGAGCGGCGGACGGGUGAGUAAUGUCUGGGAAACUGCCUGAUGGAGGGGGAUAACUACUGGAAACGGUAGCUAAUACCGCAUACCAUCAGAUGUGCCCAGAUGGGAUUAGCUCGUAGGUGGGGUAACGGCUCACCUAGGCGACGAUCCCUUGCUGGUCUGAGAGGAUGACCAGCCACACUGGAACUGAGACACGGGCCAGAGUCCUACGGUAGUCAGCAGUGGGGAAUAUUGCACAAUGGGCGCAAGCCUGAUGCAGCCAUGCCGCGUGUGUUAAGAAGGCCUUCGGGUUGUAAAGCACUUUAAGCGGGGAGGCGUGAGGGGAAGAAGAAGCACCGGCUAACUCCGUGCCAGCAGCCGCGGUAAUAG